rnacentral:rRNA from 1 species
GAUGAACGCUAGCUACAGGCUUAACACAUGCAAGUCGAGGGGCAGCAUGAACUUAGCUUGCUAAGUUUGAUGGCGACCGGCGCACGGGUGAGUAACACGUAUCCAACCUGCCGAUGACUCGGGGAUAGCCUUUCGAAAGAAAGAUUAAUACCCGAUGGCAUAGUUCUUCCGCAUGGUGGAACUAUUAAAGAAUUUCGGUCAUCGAUGGGGAUGCGUUCCAUUAGGUUGUUGGCGGGGUAACGGCCCACCAAAGCCUUCGAUGGAUAGGGGUUCUGAGAGGAAGGUCCCCACAUUGGAACUGAGACACGGUCCAAAACUCUUACGGGAGGCAGCAGUGAGGAAUAUUGGUCAAUGGACGAGAGUCUGAACCAAGCCAAGUAGCGUGAAGGGAUGACUGCCCUAUGGGUUGUAAACUUCUUUUAUAAGGGAAUAAAGUAGGGAGUCGUGACUCUUUUUGUCAUGUACCUUAUGAAUAAAGGACC